rnacentral:piRNA from 1 species
UGAGACUUUCUUAGGAUAACUUCUGUGC